rnacentral:lncRNA from 1 species
AAGUAAGUAUCCCCACUUUCAGGGUAGCAUCCUCUUUCCCUAGUUAUUUCAGUGCAGAAUCGAUUCACGUGUAAGCCUCUACCUCCUGCACUUACCCCAAUGUAGACCCCCUUCCACAGUCCCCCUACAGAAGAUCUCCCAAAACAUUUCCAACACAGAACUUCCAUUCAAUUCCCCUCCGACUGCCCGCCUCCCUCCUCCAGGACAGAGCACGCCCCAGGUUUCGAGACUGAACUACCCCCAUCUACGGAGUCCACCCCUCCCUCUCUAGAACCCCCUCAGUGUAGACGCCUCCUCUUUUCCUCUUUCCUCCCUACUUUUUCUAGUUUUUCUGCAGCCGACCUCCAGCGUCGGCCACUGUAGCUCCUUCCUUGCUCCACUUUCCCCAGAGUACACAGCCUGCCUUUCCACUCUCCGUGCAGACCCAUCCUCUUUCCCGCUCCUCGCUCUCGGACGCCACCAACGCUCUCCCGGGCUCUUCCGCGUUACCUACGAUGGAAGGUCGGGGCGUGCGGGCAGCUGGAACCCACCCCUGUCUUGGAGCUCCGGGUAGCUCUCAAACUCGAGGCUGCGCACCCCCUUUCCCGUCAGCUGAGCUCUAGAGCGCUGGGGCUUUCUUUUUGAUCGACUUCUUGAAAUAAAACCAACUUUAUCAUUCUUUGGGUAACAGACCCAAAAGCCGAUGGGACGGCCCGCUGGGCUGUUCCCGCCCCUAUGCCCUUUUUUGGGUUUCCGGCCAGAGGCAUGCUGGGAGCGUCACAUGCAAAUUGAGCGUGCACCCAGCGUUCCGCCCUUUCUACGCUGGGCCGGUUAUCGACCCGGCCCAGUGCGCAGGCGCGGGAAAGUUGAACUAAUAAAGUUUGUACGAGUUCAGUGGAGGAGACCGCAAGUUGAGUGGAGGAGGCGGCGGUGGGGCCCCGGACCAGGUGCCUCCAUGGCAGGCUCUGAAGAGCUGGGGCUCCGGGAAGACACGCUGAGGGUCCUAGCUGCCUUCCUUAGGCGUGGUGAGGCUGCCGGGUCUCCUGUUCCAACUCCACCUAGAAGCCCUGCCCAAGAAGAGCCAACAGACUUCCUGAGCCGCCUUCGAAGAUGUCUUCCCUGCUCCCUGGGGCGAGGAGCAGCCCCCUCUGAGUCCCCUCGGCCUUGCUCUCUGCCCAUCCGCCCCUGCUAUGGUUUAGAGCCUGGCCCAGCUACUCCAGACUUCUAUGCUUUGGUGGCCCAGCGGCUGGAACAGCUGGUCCAAGAGCAGCUGAAAUCUCCGCCCAGCCCAGAAUUACAGGGUCCCCCAUCGACAGAGAAGGAAGCCAUACUGCGGAGGCUGGUGGCCCUGCUGGAGGAGGAGGCAGAAGUCAUUAACCAGAAGGUGAUGGGCAUCUGUCCCACUCCUUGGCAAGGACAGGAGUUGCGGAAUGCUGGCCUCGGACCCCGCCCUGCGCAGCAAGCUGGUCCGCCUGUCCUCCGACUCUUUCGCCCGCCUGGUGGAGCUGUUCUGUAGCCGGGAUGACAGCUCUCGCCCAAGCCGAGCAUGCCCCGGGCCCCCGCCUCCUUCCCCGGAGCCCCUGGCCCGCCUGGCCCUAGCCAUGGAGCUGAGCCGGCGCGUGGCCGGGCUGGGGGGCACCCUGGCCGGACUCAGCGUGGAGCACGUGCACAGCUUCACGCCCUGGAUCCAGGCCCACGGGGGCUGGGAGGGCAUCCUGGCUGUUUCACCCGUGGACUUGAACUUGCCAUUGGACUGAGCUCUUUCUCAGAAGCUGCUACAAGAUGACACCUCAUGUCCCUGCCCUCUUCGUGUGCUUUUCCAAGUCUUCCUAUUCCACUCAGGGCUGUGGGGUGGUGGUUGCCCUACCUGUUUUUGCCAAAAAUAAAUUGUUUAAAACUUUUCUUAUUAAAAACGUUACAAAGUA